rnacentral:rRNA from 1 species
UGCGUAGGCGGACUAAUAAGUCAGUGGUGAAAUCUUUCGGCUCAACCGAGAAACUGCCAUUGAUACUGUUAGUCUUGAGUUCGGUUGAGGUGGGCGGAAUGUGUAAUGUAGCGGUGAAAUGCUUAGAUAUUACACAGAACACCAAUUGCGUAGGCAGCUUACUAGACCGACACUGACGCUGAGGCACGAAAGCGUGGGGAGCGAACAGGAUUAGAUACCCUGGUAGUCC